rnacentral:snoRNA from 1 species
UGUUAAUUGUUUAGGUGUAUUUAUCACUGAAUACACAGUUGAUGUGAGUUCUUCAAAUUACACUGAGACCUU